CUGCGGAGGGAUCAUUACAAGUGACCCCGGUCUAACCACCGGGAUGUUCAUAACCCUUUGUUGUCCGACUCUGUUGCCUCCGGGGCGACCCUGCCUUCGGGCGGGGGCUCCGGGUGGACACUUCAAACUCUUGCGUAACUUUGCAGUCUGAGUAAACUUAAUUAAUAAAUUAAAACUUUUAACAACGGAUCUCUUGGUUCUGGCAUCGAUGAAGAACGCAGCGAAAUGCGAUAAGUAAUGUGAAUUGCAGAAUUCAGUGAAUCAUCGAAUCUUUGAACGCACAUUGCGCCCCCUGGUAUUCCGGGGGGCAUGCCUGUUCGAGCGUCAUUUCACCACUCAAGCCUCGCUUGGUAUUGGGCAACGCGGUCCGCCGCGUGCCUCAAAUCGACCGGCUGGGUCUUCUGUCCCCUAAGCGUUGUGGAAACUAUUCGCUAAAGGGUGUUCGGGAGGCUACGCCGUAAAACAACCCCAUUUCUAAGGUUGACCUCGGAUCAGGUAGGGAUACCCGCUGAACUUAAGCAUAUCAAA
rnacentral:rRNA from 1 species